rnacentral:rRNA from 1 species
UACGUAGGUGGCAAGCGUUGUCCGGAUUUACUGGGCGUAAAGAGCGCGCAGGCGGUCGUGCAAGUCGCGUGUGAAAGCCCCCGGCUCAACUGGGGAGGGUCACGCGAUACUGAUCGACUCGAAGGCAGGAGAGGGUAGUGGAAUUCCCGGUGUAGUGGUGAAAUGCGUAGAUAUCGGGAGGAACACCAGUGGCGAAGGCGACUUCCUGGGCUGUUCUUGACGCUGAGGCGCGAAAGCUAGGGGAGCAAACGGG